AACUGACCGCAAUGGAGAGAUCAGCGCCCAGGGAAGCGAGGGAACAGCAGGCUCCUUCCAGCAGCACAUCGGGAUGGGAGCCUGGGACACAGAGGGUGCUCCGAGACCGGGACUGUUUCGGGGUUGUGAUGCAAAUUCAAAGAAGACAGAAGAUCUGAUGAGUUAGAAUUGACAGUGGGGCAGUCAUGGCGUGUAAGAACACCAAGAUGUGGCCAUCUCUGCCAAGGUGGGAAGUGAAUACAAUCACGAAAUGUCCUUGAACGAAUUGACUUGCUCAGCCAAAAGGAGGGCAACCAGAAGUGGACACAAUACAUCAGAGCAAGCUUCACCAGUGUCCUGUACAACCACAACAUGGUGUCCGAACUCCAACACUCAAUGGUCCGUGCA